AUCACCUCCAAGGAGCACCUUGCCAGCAAGAUCCGAGCCUUCAUCCUCCCCAAGGCAGAGGUGUGCGUGCGGAACCAUGUCCAGCCCUACAUCCCAUCCAUCCUGGAGGCCCUGAUGGUCCCCACCAGCCAGGGCUUCACUGAGGUGCGAGAUGUCUUCUUCAAGGAGGUCACAGACAUGAACCUGAACGUCAUCAACGAGGGCGGCAUUGACAAGCUGGGCGAGGUGAGGCCGGCACCGCCCCUAGGAGGGGGUCUCCUGAGAGUAGGUCUGGUCUGUCCCAGAGGGCCCCGGCUGUGUGACUCAGGGCAGCCGUUCCCCUCCAAGGCCGUCCCUGUAGACGGGGAGGGGCUGCCGGGGACAAGGGGCAGAGGCCGUGAGGCCAGGGCUGUUGGAGUCCUCGUGGGGCCUGCAGUUAGAGGAAAGAGGGAACAUUAGCUCCCGGCCAUCAGCCUUUAGAAACCAAGAGUGGUGCUAAAAUAG
rnacentral:sRNA from 1 species